ACCAGACCAUACGACCUUAAAACAAUAUGUGGCUUGUGAGAGCAAGGUUGAAAGGGCAAAAAAUGUCACAGGGACUGUGAGGAAGCCACAGACCCUCUGAGGCCUCUCCAGACGCAGGUUCACACCUGCCUUCGGAGCAGGUAAUGGUCUCUUCUAAUGCUGUUUCUCCUGUAGGUGAAUACAAGCAAAUAGCCAGCCCCAGGCAGUGCACCUGCCUGUGAGAUACACUUCAGUGGCUCACCCUGGGCUGCUGUUCCCCAGGUUGUACGUGUUGAACAGGGCUGCUCACAGAAUGCUCCCAGCUGUGUUUGGGGGUGUUUCAAGGCAGUGCCCACCUCGCCUCACUUGCCCCCUACAAAGCGAAUGACAGCACAGGUUUGUCACCAUCAGCAACAGCAUUUUAAGUCCCUGUUGAUGUGAGCAAUGUUAGAGAGUCCCGUGUGUAACGUGCUGCUGGCCAGACCCUGGCUGUAACCUAAACCAGGGCUGAACGUGCCCUUGAUUCUGCCCUGGCAGGAGAAGAGAGGAUCUUGCGCCUUCCAAAUUGUUGCAGGCAUGAAAAGAAACAUGGCGUUUGCUUUCUUAAAAUUAUUUUUGAUUCAGGGUAGCAUUAAACAGGUUGAGCAAGUAUAGCAGAGUCACCCCUGGGAAAGGCAACCUGAAAGGACUUUCCCAGGGAGACAAAUCCCGAUCUGGCAGUUGUAAAGCUCCUGCAGCUGUUGAGUAGGGUUCUAGGAAAAACAACAGGACAGCGAGGCAGGGCUGACAGCUGAACUGGUACAGGUGGUGGAAAGUGAUGCUGCCUCACCAGGAACUGCAGUGACCAACAGCCUCUCUUCAGCUGUAUAAAAGUAAAGCAUGCCACAGAGCAGGCUUUGGAGCGUUACAAACAAAGCUGUUUCAGGAGCCAAACACACCGGGAUAUUUGCUGGUGAGUGCAACUGGAUUUUCCAUCUGGAAGGCAUGACUGUCUGGCCCAGAAGCCAAUUUAAAGUACAAAUUAGAUCUGGCUGCUUGUCAGAGUCUCCUCCCCAAAAUGCAAUAAGGACAGGGUGGUUAUAUAAUGUAAACCAUUCUCGGUAAUUUAGUGGUCCUGAAACAACAAACAAGCCAAGGAGGGGGAAAAAUGGUUUGCAGCAGAAUUCAAAGCUGAAGGAUUCGGGUAGAGGAAUUCAGUCCAUCUGAUCCGGCAGAGAUGUGUGCUGCUAUUCCUGUACGUCUUGAAAGGAAGCUGCCACCAGAUCCUCUGCUAUUUUCUCUUCACAGGGCCCUACUGAUAGGCAUGAUAUUUCAGCCUCCGCGCUAACUCCCGCGCUCCAAGUAUGCAGGGACAGUUGUGUGUGUGGCCCCGCACCUUUCCCUGCUGCCGGGGCACGGCAGGAGGCAGCUCCUGCUGACACGCAGCGAAGCCCUCGGGCAUGGCAAACCUCUGCAGAUGACAGUGGCUACGGUGGCUUUGCCCAGAUCUGUCGUGAUGUCUGCGGUGCUGUCUGCUACCUGUGCAGGAUGCUGCCUGGUACGGGCACGAUGGGCUUUUGCAAGGUCCUACCACCCAGGCUCUGUGAGAAAUGAGAUAACGGCAACAAUCAGGCCAGCGGAGAUGACCAUCUCUACAGGCUCCCACGGCACUGAGCACGACCUAUUAAAAAUCAGCUCCAGAUCAGGAGGA